AUGGGGGAGGAUGGGCAGAUCCGCCGCGACAGGGUCAUCAUCGACACGGAUCCCGGCAUCGAUGACAGCAUGACGAUCCUAAUGGCUUUUGGAGAACCAAGUGUGGAGAUCAUUGGGCUGACAACCAUAUUCGGCAAUGUCGCUACAGAGUAUGCUACACGCAAUGCGCUCUUGCUGUGUGAGAGAGCAGGGCAUCCUGAGGUUCCAGUAGCAGAGGGCAGCCCGGAGCCUCUUAAGGGAGGAGAGCCACGCGUUGCUGACUUUGUUCAUGGAUCCGAUGGUCUUGGUAAUUUGUCUCUUCCUGCACCUACUACUAAGAAGGUUGAGGAAAGUGCUGCCGAGUUCAUGGUUAAUAAGGUCUCUCAGUUUCCUGGAGAGAUAUCUGUACUUGCAUUGGGACCCCUGACAAAUGUCGCAUUGGCCAUCAAAAGGGACUCGUCAUUUGCAUGCAAGGUCAAAAAAAUAGUUGUGCUGGGUGGAGCUUUCUUCGCAGCUGGAAAUGUCAACCCUGCUGCUGAAGCUAAUAUCUAUGGAGAUCCGGAUGCAGCGGAUGUAGUUUUUACAUCAGGAGCAGAUAUUGAUGUGGUUGGCAUUAACAUAACAACUCAAUGCUGUUUUACAGAUGAGGAUCUCUUGGAACUGAAAAACUCAAAAGGGGUGCACGCACAGUUCUUGUGUGACAUGUGCAAGUUCUACAGAGAUUGGCAUGAGAAGUCUGACGGCUUCCAAGGGAUUUUCCUACAUGAUCCAGUGAGCUUUACAGCCUUAGUUCACCCCGAGUACUUCACAUUCAAGAAGGGUGUUGUGAGAGUCGAGACUCAGGGCAUUUGCACCGGCCAUACUUUGAUGGACCAUGGAUUGAAGAAGUGGAAUUCAGAAAAUCCAUGGUCUGGUUAUGCACCAAUUUCAGUUGCAUGGACAGUCGAUGUGCCAAAGGUCCUUGCAUAUGUGAAGAAGCUGCUGAUGGCGCCCUGA
rnacentral:rRNA from 1 species